rnacentral:rRNA from 1 species
UGAACGCUGGCGGCAGGCCUAACACAUGCAAGUCGAACGGCAGCACAGGAGAGCUUGCUCUCUGGGUGGCGAGUGGCGGACGGGUGAGGAAUAUAUCGGAAUCUACCCUUUCGUGGGGGAUAACGUAGGGAAACUUACGCUAAUACCGCAUACGAACUGAGGUUGAAAGCGGCGGACCGCAAGGCGUCGCGCGGAUGGAUGAGCCGAUAUCCGAUUAGCUAGUUGGCGGGGUAAAGGCCCACCAAGGCGACGAUCGGUAGCUGGUCUGAGAGGAUGAUCAGCCACACUGGAACUGAGACACGGUCCAGACUCCUACGGGAGGCAGCAGUGGGGAAUAUUGGACAAUGGGCGCAAGCCUGAUCCAGCCAUGCCGCGUGUGUGAAGAAGGCCUUCGGUGUAAGCACUUUGUCAGGAGAAUCCUUGAGUUAUACCUCGGGGGAGUGACGGUACCGUGAAGAAUAAGCACGGCUACUACGUG